AUCGCUUUGGUGGAGUGGUUAACACACGGUAGCCUGCUAAGCUGCUGUCCUUUGGACGCGCAGGUUCGAAUCCUGCAGGCGACG
rnacentral:tRNA from 1 species